GGAGGGUAGCGGGGAUGCCGCCGGAGCCAGGAGGGGAGGUUGCGUCAUUUUUAGCGAGGGGAUGAGGAAGGCGAUGAGAAAGAUAAGGUGGAGAGAGAAAAUGAAUCGCAACCGUUGAUCUGAGAUCGUGCGGAUGAAAAAUGUAGCCUAAAAAAAUAGAGAGUUGACAGGAGGGCACCGUUGCUGGUUAGCUCUUAGAUACAGAGGUGCUGAUGACACUCGCUGGACAAGCCUUCAGUUUGGGACUAAAAUACGUUGUGCCGCCCAGAAAGUAUACAUACGUAUGUUACGCCUACCUGUAUACAUGACCCGUGUGUGGGCUCUUUCAUGUAAGCCGAAAGUCCAUCCAUGCAUCAUGCAUGCGCGGAAAGACGGCCCAUGGCUGUUCUAUGAUGCAUGUAAGUGAUAUAACAGAUCGAUGCCUCGGCCCAGGGCAGUAGCAUCCUCC
rnacentral:lncRNA from 1 species